rnacentral:tRNA from 1 species
AUUUGGGUAACUUAAGUUUAAAGUAUAAUAUUGAAGCUAUUAAUAUAAGAGUUAAUCUUCCCAAGUG